GGUAAUGCCGGAUGCUCCAGUUGAUCGCAUGGUCUUCUGGGAAAGCUUUCGCGGUAUGGGAUGGGGUCGCGUCCUAUCAGCUUGACGGCGGGGUAACGGCCCACCGUGGCUUCGACGGGUAGCCGGCCUGAGAGGGCGACCGGCCACAUUGGGACUGAGAUACGGCCCAGACUCCUACGGGAGGCAGCAGUGGGGAAUAUUGCACAAUGGGCGCAAGCCUGAUGCAGCGACGCCGCGUGAGGGAUGGAGGCCUUCGGGUUGUAAACCUCUUUUAUCGGGGAGCAAGCGAGAGUGAGUUUACCCGUUGAAUAAGCACCGGCUAACUACGUGCCAGCAGCCGCGGUAAUACGUAGGGUGCAAGCGUUAUCCGGAAUUAUUGGGCGUAAAGGGCUCGUAGGCGGUUCGUCGCGUCCGGUGUGAAAGUCCAUCGCUUAACGGUGGAUCCGCGCCGGGUACGGGCGGGCUUGAGUGCGGUAGGGGAGACUGGAAUUCCCGGUGUAACGGUGGAAUGUGUAGAUAUCGGAA
rnacentral:rRNA from 2 species